rnacentral:rRNA from 1 species
GUAAAUGGCCAUGCUAUCCUGAAUGUGCCUGACCCCAUCUGAUCUCGGAAGCUAAGCAAGGUCGGGCCUGGUUAGUACUUGGAUGGGAGACCACCUAGGAAGACCAGGUGCUGUAGGUG